rnacentral:sRNA from 1 species
GUUUUGAUUUUUUCUCUUUGUGUCUCU